AAUUCUACCCAGGUUUGUUUAGAAUAGGUAGGUCUAAUCAGCAAAAUUGGACAUCAAGAUAAUUUCAGCAGCAACAAGCUAAUCAGAAUAAAGAUUUAGUUAUUGUUGAAAGUCUACGUACCUAAACGUGAGAAUACAUAAACACGGACGUUGAUGUUAUUGAUUAUUGAAGGCGAACCUUCUAAAAGUCGGGAGAGCGCAUCGACUCGUAAAU